UAGUUUGAAAAUAACUAAGCAACAGCAAGAUAACAAAAAAAUAGCAAAUAAACAAUAAAAUAAACGAAGUGGAAAUAAAGUGGUCCGUUGGCUUUGUUAGGACCUUCAUACUCCCCAGAUUGCAACCCAGUUGAUCAGAGGGGAGCCUCUUCUCACUCUUCCAAAAUUUCACCCUUCUGUUUCCUUUUUCCUCUCAAAAGAUCUAUUGCCAUUCCUCGGAGUGGACCCUUUUGGCCAUUUCUUGAGUCAGUUAGCCUCGUUGGCUGUCCGAUCUUCUCUCCUCCUCCAUUUUUCCCACGGCGAACUCCGGCACUUCCCCUACCAGGUAAGCUUGCUCCCUUAAUUUUAAUCCUCCCAUCGCUAAAACAUGCGCUUGGUCGUUCCUCUCCCUUGUGUGGGAGAACAAACGGGUUGGAAAUCAUCUUUUAACGAUUUUACAUUUUCAAUGAAAGCACUUAUAUAUAAUAGGCUAUAUUUUGUUUUCUUUAAUUUUUGCAGUUAUAUUUUGAAAUUGUAUAAUUUGCCAUUCAAUUAUUAGUGUGAUUGAAUUUUACCACUAAACUUUAAUUUUUUUUAAAAGAAUUUCCAUAAACUUUGAUUUUUAGUUAAAAAUUUAGCACUUAAUAUUAAUUUUGAUGAAAAAAAAUUGAACUUUAACUACUAAUCAAAAGUUACUUAAAGUUCAUACUUUUAUGUAUUAUAGAUAGAUAAGUCAUAAAUAUUUAAUUUAAUCAAGUUACAUAUUCAACUUUAACUACUAAUAAAUUAAGCCAUUUAUACUAACAUUGUAACACUCUCGACUCGAUUUGAUUGGUUGGAUCCAGAUCUUAGGUAUUAUCAAGUUAAUACAAAUAAAAACUCAAUCUACUUUUACAAAUUACGAUCACUUACGUCUUACUUAAUCACAAAAUUUCUAAUUUGAAUAGAUAAACAUGUACAAGUAAAUAUAAUUACAUCACGUGGUAAUUAAAAUACAACAAUAUUUAAUUUGAAACUCUAAUACAAUACAGAUGCCCCAAAUAGGGACUUCUAAGUAAUAAUUCAGUCUUGGAAUACAUCGCCAAUCUUGCUCUGUAUACACAAUAACCUGAUAUUUCACUUUUAGGGAUAGUCCUAACAUCGUCCCUCUUGACGUAGACUUACGUCAUCUCACUUAUAACAUAAUACAUACAGAUAAGUUUAUAAGAAUUUAGUAAGGAAAAUAUAAUUUACAUGAGUCAUAUUUGCACAUUGCAAUUGAUAGUUUAGAUAGAUGAUACCAUCGUCCUUAAACAUUCAACUUUGUCUCUGAUGAAUACUUCCUCAAGUUUUGUUUCCAUAUUCACAUCAGAUAUCAUACCUUACUUUGAAAUCACUUCUUCUUAUCGAAGUAUUCAAUACAUCAUUUACUUCUUUCAAUCAAAACAAUCAUAAAUCUUUAUCCAUUUUCUUUUCAGAGAUCAAUACAAUCAGUAACAACAUUACGCUUGCAAACUUACUUCUGAGCCAUCAAAUCAUCACAAUUCAAAAGAAUGUGUGCACAGACGAUAGAUACCUCCUUCAAACAUACAAAUUUUACAGUCUUAUUUUUAGACGAGUCAUAGCCUUAUAUAACUCGUUUUUACUGUACUAACCAUAUAGACAUAAAACCUUUCUAAUCUUACUGAUUUCACUUAAGAGUCAUGUUGAAUGCGCCUAAUCGAUUUAUUAUAGAACCUGCCACAAGAACAUUCUUUCCGAUAUGUCACCAAGGACUUUAUUUUGACGUAUCAUAUGGACAUUUCUUUCAGAGUUCGUCAUGAAUGAUACUUUUUCAUAUUGCGCUACGAAGGCGCUCCUUUAGGGUUUGCCAUAAGGGUAUUUUCUUCCUAAUGUGUUUGUGAUAUGAAUUUGCCUAGACUCACAUUUCGUGAGAUUUGCUUGUCAUUAUCCUAAGACAUGCAGAAAAAAUCCAUUAGGCUAUAGCCAUGACCAUGGACUUUCCAUUCAGGGUUCUUAUUUAAAGUCCCGGCGAACCCUUUUGAACAUCACCGCGAUGAACAGACAUAAACUCUUCAUGCCCUUAUACAAUUUAAACCUAACCUUUUAUUCCACCAACAUAUAACCACAUACAUUCCCGACUCAUAAUACAAAUUCUAGGCAUACAUAUAACCAUACCUCAGCAUUACAUUAUUUAAUCACCAUUCAUCAUAUGCUUGAACUUAUCAUAUUCCAUACCAAUUAUACAUGCCAUCCUCAAUGAACAAUCAUACAUUCAUAGAUCUCAUUUAGUAAUUACUCAUAUAGUUACAUACAUAUCAUAUCGUACCUUUCGUGAUCUCGGCUUCAUAUUUCAUUUAGUAUGCCACAGAUCUAUUUGCAUGAAUAGUACAUAUGCAAAAGUCAGCAAAGAGGCUCACCUGACAAUCUCACAUAGCAGCUUAAAUUCUAGAUCCAACAAGAGAUUACAAUAACCACUACUUAUAAAACAAAAGAACACCAUUAAAACUCGUUUUAACCUCUACCGUCAUCUUAAACCUAGAUAACCCACAUAUAAAGCCUUACUUCUUUAUUUAACUAUUCAUGCACUUAUUCAAACUUAAUCUUUCAUAACUUUAACAUGUAGAGUUACAAUAUUUACCUUGACAUGUAGUAGUCACUAACAAAAAUCUAGAUUUACAACUCCAAUUUAUAGGAGAAAAAAAUACUUUCUGGUUUCUCCAGUAUCAGAUAACAAUACUUUAGAAGAAAGAAGGAAAAUUUUUUCUUUCUCUACCCUUAAUAUCGACAUAUUUAACCUAAGUCCUUAUUGGAACUUGACAUGUGUCACAACUCGUAAGAUUGUUUUUAUAAAUGGCUUACAGUUGUAGAGAGAACCUAAAUAAAAAUCCAAUAAAUUAUAUAUUUGGUUCUUCGGUUCUAUCCAUUUCUAUCCAAAUGGUUUUUAACGUAACUGGCACAGUAACUCAAUGAACUUGGCAUAUAAUACCUUCGACAAUAACUCCAACUUACAAAAUUCUCAAUACUCUUACCAAACUCCCUUUCCUUACAGCACAACACAUUCUAAGUUCGAUCCGUAUAUAAUAUUCCAAUAUCUGCUAUGCACUCAAAUUGUACACCAAAACAAUAAUUGGGCAGAUAGGCUACGCCUCACAAAUUACUCUCAGUCUACUCGCCAGAACUUAAAACCCAUCAAAACUAGGUGUUACAAACGCCGUCGAGUUAUUUUAAUGGAAAAAUUGAGUUAUCACUUCUAUUUAGCAAUUUUUUUCAAAUAAGCAAAUAAUAUAUAUUGUUAUUUUAAAUAAAUUUGUCUAAGCUUUUUUCCAAACAUAAAUUACUAGAGAAAUAAAAUUUAGUUUUGCAAUUCUGUAAGAAUGAAACCUUAAUCAAUUGAAUCAAUUUUUUUGAAUUUUUUUCUCAUUCUUCAUCAUUCAUUUUCAACCAUUAAAGAUUUGCAAUUGUUCCUUUAAACUUUCAUAAUCGAUCAUGGAGGUUUUUAUUCCUUGAUAUAGAGGUAGGGAUCAACAUUGAAAAGUCCUCGAGUUGCAGAUUUGACGUAGGGCUUUAGACUAAAUUGAAGGGAAUUGGCAUGUAAGCAACCUAAAACACAUAAGAAAUGUAACAACUCGAUAGGCAGGGGUGUUGAAAAGUGUAUAUCCGGGACUCUGUUCAUGUAAACCAGACUCGAAGUUAAUUAUUUAGUUAAUUAAAUUUUGGAUAGAUAAUUUACAUGAAUUAGGAGCUAUUAUGGUUUAAGGACUAAAUUGCGUAAAAGUAAAAAAUUCAAUUAUAAAUUGAAAUAAACUAAAGGGGCUAAAGUAAUAAUUAUGUAAUUUAAUAAAUGGUUGUGUAUAGGUGCCCGGUCAAGGGUUAAGUGUAAUGUGCUUUUAUAUAUUAUAUAUAUGUUAUAUAUUAAGUUAGAAUAAUAAUAGUAAUAAAUAAAAUGAAAACAAAAUUAAAAGAAAAAAGUGAAGUAGAAUGAGAGAGCACAUGCAAAUUAAAAGAAAAGAAAAGAAAGAACCAAAAGAGGCCGACGAUACUAAGGGCUUCAAACUUUCAAAUUUUAAUUGGUUAGUCAAUUUAGCCCCAUUUUCUUAUAAUUUUCAUAUUUUUGGAAUCACAGUACCUAGGUUCUAAUUUUUAGUAUUGUUUAAGAUUUUAGAUGUUGCUAUUGUUGAAUAGUUUAAGUAUUAGGAAUUAAAUAGAUAGAUUUUUAAGCUAGAAGUGGAAAAUGACUAAAUUGUGAAAUUAAUAGUUGAUUUUGAGUAAUAGGGACUAAAUUGAGAAAAUUUUGAAAUUGAAGGGUUGAAUUAGAAAAUGAGCUAAAUUUAGUUUAAAGUGAAAUUAGUAUAAAAAUAUAAAGUUAAAUGUGAAGGUUAAAAAUUAGUCUCGAUUUAGGGACUAAAUUGAAGUUUAAGCAAAUAAAGUGUAAAAUUUUAAUUUUAAUGUAAAAUUAAAUUAUGUAAUAUUAAUAUAUUUUAAUUGUUUUAUUCCGUAGCUAACGUCGUACCGGAAUCCUUGAGUAAAAAGGAGAAGGAUAAAAUUGACGUCGAAUAGCUCAGAAUUUACGGUUUGUGUGUUCUAUAAUCCUAAUUAAAUAACAGAUUGUUGUAUAAUUAAUUGUUUGCAUAUGGUAAGCAUUUGUGGUGGGUACUUUGGUACUUUUGGAUUAAAUUGAAUUCAUAGUAAAUUUGAAAGGGAUUCAUUUUGUGUAUUAUGAAAUAUGUUGAUUAUAUGAAUAUUGAAUUGACUAUAUGUGAUAGUGUAUAUAUGUGAAACUGAGACAUUAGUUGUAUUGAAAAGUGAAAUAAAACUCUAUUAACUGUAUCGGGCUGAGUUGGAUAUAGAUGGCAUGCCAUAGGAUAGGAAGAGUUCAAGGAUUUCUCUUAAGUCGAUGAGGCACUGGGUGCCAAUUUACUUUGGUUUAACUGAUGAGACAUUGGAUGUCAAUUUAUAUAGCACUGGGUACAGUUAUUAUUUUGGAAUUAACUAGACACUAGGUGCCAAAUUGGUGUGUUGGUUGGAUCUGUGUAUCUAUCCGAGUCUGAGUCAUGUUAAUAGGGAAAAUUAAAUAAUAAAUUUAUAUGUUUGAUAUUGAGAUGACCAUGUUGAGAAAUGAAUAUGAGAUGAGAAAAAGAAAUAUGAAAUAAUGAAAUGUGAUGUGAAUCUUGAAAUGAAUUCAAGUAUCAAAAUGAUUAAUCAUGCCAUUGAAUGAGUUGGACUACUAAAUGCUAUAUAUAUGAAAUAUCACUGAUAUGUGCUUGAACAUAUGAAAUAUUAUUACCAUGUGCUAAAUUUUGUGAACUCUAUUGAAUGUGAAUAAAGAAUGAGUAAGUUGGCAUUAUUGAUUUGAUACAUAUGUUUUAUAACAUUACUUAUUGCAUUUUUAUAUCUUAUCUAUCCAUAUCAAGUUUAAAUUAUUCGGAUUAUAGAAAUACCACUAAGUUAUACUCAGUGUGCGGUUUUGUUUUCUGUACGCAAGCUAGGUACUUUUCAACAUAUCGCAGACUCAGCAUCAAACAAUAAAUCCCGAGCUCAAGUGUGGUUAUAUCUUAUUUUGAAAUGGCAUGUACCGAGGAAGUCUUUGGUUGAUAGUUGGUUUGUCAAUGUCAUGUUAUUUUGUUUUAAGGUGAAUUGAUGGUUACUUAUAUAAUUGUGGUUUAAGCUAUGUUUUUGUAUGUAGUCUAAUUAAUGUGUUGGUAUGUGUUGUAGUUUAAAACUUGGUAGCCUAAGUAGUUAAAGGUUAGUUCAAUAUUAGUUAAUUUGAUAUGAAUGAAAGUCUUUGAAUGGUUGAUGUGUUUGAUGAUAUAAAAUGUAGCACCAAUGAGGGUACAUUGGCUAGACACUUAAGGUGGUUUAUUUGGUUUGUUUUAAGCAUGCUUAAUCGUGUUUUGAACAAGUUAAAUGACUGUUAAUUAAGUUUCUUAGUGUCUAAGUAAGUAGGAAAUGGUAAACUUGAGUUUUAAGGUACUUAUAGGUGCAUAUGGCCUAAACACGGUCUGUCACACGAUCGUGUUGAAAAAUAGUAUAGGUGUAGUUUCCACACGGGCUGACAC
rnacentral:lncRNA from 1 species